ensembl:lncRNA
CCUGGUCGCUGGCUUCAUUUUCUCUUUGUGAGCAGCAGCUGGAGACGUCCACACUUCCGUCUGCAGAACCGGCUGGAGCUGAGGCGAAGGGGGCCUUCCCUGUGGCCUGGUGGUUUCCUCUCCGAGGCAAGCAGAGCAGCAUUCACAGGGGGACGGGGCAGAGGGGACGCGCUGCGAGCUCGGGCCUGGGGCAGGGCGUGACCCCGACCGUCCCUGUCUGUGGGGCAGGGCUGCAGGAUGGGUUACCGGGCCGCAGAGCUGGGCUUCUCAGGAAGUAAGCGCGUUAGCCAAACCCGCAGUGCCCUGCGCCUGAACGGCACCCCUUUCCCCCGCUGCUUGCUCAAAGCUCAAAGCGAACCAGCACCUUCCUCACCUUGUGGUCAAGAACACAGGACAGGACAUGCUAGACUGCGGCCCUCCACGGACAGGAGCUUCCUGCCGGAUCCCGAAACGUGGCCUUUAACCUAGCUUGCAGUCGGUGCUGUGCCCUGUGCCUGCCCAGGGACGCGAUCGGUCGCCCCGCCCCUUCAGAGUCGCUCCUCCUCCCCCGGCUUAUUCCCAGGGCCUGACCUUGACCUGGCCUCCCGCCCCUUGCCCUCGAGCGCGUCCCGGAGCGGCCCUCAGGCCCCGGGAUCGUUCAGGCCGCCGGCCUGGUCCACAGCUCUUCUCACGGAGCCUUACUGCGGGCGGCGCCGCGAAGGCCCUGCCGCGAGCCGGCGAAGGUCCAGCCUGGCCGCUGCGCUCCUCACUUAAGGCCAUGAGCUCUCCCUUCCUCCUCAGCCCCCUGCUGCCGCGAUGCUCCCCUUGCUGCGGCCCAUGGUCUCGUAGUCUCCAAAGUCGUAAAUUCAGGCAUCCGGCUCUUGGAAGGUCAUCUCGUAUUUACGGCUGCUGCUUUCUGGGCUCCCCAGUUCAGUGAUUUUCUGCCUUCAGCACUCCCCUUGGUUAUCAUUAUCAGAGAAGCUUUCACAGAACAGGAAAAAUGCAUGAAGCUGAGACACCAACCACCUACUGAACUGAGGACUCCACAGUCAGUACCCUGAGAGCCCAGGAAGACCUACUAGUCUGUGGAGCUGCUAAUCGUUUGAUCUGCAGAUGGACCUGGUCAAAUACUGAAGCUGUGUUUUGUCCCUAGUCUUGAAAUUGACCUGAGAGAUGAUGGAAUCCCUUGCACAGACUUGAGGUUUCUGCCCUCAUGACUAACAAGGCUGGAACUGCUUCUCCCAGAACAACUUCACCACUUUGCCAGAUGAGACCUGCUGCUCGAGUGAGCCUGGGAGGGUGCCAGGUGUACACGGCAGCCCGGGCUCCGUCCAACCUCAUCCUGGGCGUAUUUAUGCUGUACAUCGAAUGGGGAAUGCAGCCCACCUUUGCUGUUCCAGCCUCCAAAAACAGGUCCAGAAGCUUCCUGCCUGGGGUCUAGAGGGGCUUUAAAUGCCUAUGUCAGGGAAUGUCUUAAAAACACCCCUGGAAAACGCUGCCUCUUCUCCACCUCUGAGAUUCCCUAAUUAUAUAAUUGUUCACCUUAUAAGCCAGAAAAAUAGAGAACGCAUGGUGGGCUCAUGGCAGAGUCGUGCAGAACUCAGCAGUGGCGCCAGCCUCACGUUCUGCCCUGCUGUCCUCCCGGGGACGGGCGAGCUGCAGCGGAGGUGGCCAUCUGGUCCCUGUGUGUGACAGACAAGGAGGAGCACCGCAAAGAUUGGCUGCUUUCUGAGCCACAGAGGGGAGCGCUUGGAGUCUCCGCUGCUGACUGGAGCCUUAAGAACGGGGCUUAGAUCGAAGUGAAGGGGCUGACGGUUUCAGUACAUGACUGACUUGUCAAGCCUGAGACUGCUCCCUGCUUUCCUUGGGCCAGGCACCAGACUUAGGGAACAAACAGCCAGGUUUAUUACAAAUCAUCACUUCAAAUCAGGGACAUUGAAGCUCUAGCACCUCCCAGAAGUGCCACUUUUGGAAACCAGGCCUGUAACCAUAUGUGGCCCCAGGGACACUUAGGAUCCAAACUACAGCAUCGAUGCCUGCACCAAAGACAGAUUAACAAGAGAAAACCAAGCACAUUUGUCAAUGCUUUGAGAGAACAUCGGGCAAGAGGAGUCACUCAAAGUGGUGGCCUAGGAGCCUGCCGUAAAUGGUUUCUCAGUAAAGUUCCUUUUAGAGAAGUGACAGAGGAUAGAAAAUUGUCCUCGGUUUCAGAGGUGGGAAACUGGGGAGGUAAAUUUGUGGGAAAACAUUCUGCUCGCAGAGCCUUCCACAGCCUCAGAGACAUGAGAAGUAGGCACCGUGAGAGAAUUUUUGUCUGUUCUUUAGGUAGAAAAGGAAGAGGGCAGGAGGUAGGAAGACCUGUGUGCCUUUCUGAAUCUUUAUCCUGCUUUUUGGCAGAGAGAAGUCAGAGUUUCCUUGCAUUUUGAUUGUUGUCAGCUCAAAAAUCCUUUAUAUUUUGGAGAUAAGGAGCUUGGCUUCCCUCACUGAGAACUUAUAAAACCUUAGUAUUGUUCAACUCAAACCAUUCCUAACUAGAUCAUACUUUCUAACAGCUACUUCAGACUUGGACCUGGUAGCAGUAGACAAGAAAGUACAUUCUGUGCGAACCUGGGCCUACGAACACAUGAAUUAUUUCCACAUAGCAUACUGG